rnacentral:sRNA from 1 species
GUUAGAGAUGAAUAAAGUUCAGGCCUUGCCCUCCAGAACCUCAUGGCCUUGUGCUGCCUUUGCUUUAAUCUCUCCUCUCCUCUCCCAGGCUCCUGGAGUCCAUGAUCCCUAUCAAGAUGGUCAACUUCCCCCAGAAAAUUGCAGGUGAACUCUAUGGACCUCUCAUGCUGGUCUUCACUCUGGUUGCUAUCCUACUCCAUGGGAUGAAGACGUCUGACACUAUUAUCCGGGAGGGCACCCUGAUGGGCACAGCCAUUGGCACCUGCUUCGGCUACUGGCUGGGAGUCUCAUCCUUCAUUUACUUCCUUGCCUACCUGUGCAACGCCCAGAUCACCAUGCUGCAGAUGUUGGCACUGCUGGGCUAUGGCCUCUUUGGGCACUGCAUUGUCCUGUUCAUCACCUAUAA